GACGCAGUAGGAUAGGCGAAGCGUGCUGUUGGAGUGCACGUCCAAGCAGUGAGAUUGAGUGUUAGGCAAAUCCGGCACUCUUAAGAUUGAGCUGUGAUGGGGAGAGGAACUUGUUCCUCGAGUCGUUGAUUUCACACUGCCGAGAAAAGCCUCUAGCUAGAAUAACGGUGCCCGUACCGCAAACCGACACAGGUAGUCAAGAUGAGAAUUCUAAGGUGAGCGAGCGAACUCUCGUUAAGGAACUCGGCAAAAUGACCCCGUAACUUCGGGAGAAGGGGUGCUCUUUGAGGUUCACGCUUCGAAGAGCCGCAGUGAAUAGGCCCAAGCGACUGUUUAUCAAAAACACAGGUCUCUGCUAAACCGUAAGGUGACGUAUAGGGGCUGACGCCUGCCCGGUGCUGGAAGGUUAAGAGGAGUGGUUAGCGCAAGCGAAGCUACGAAUCGAAGCCCCAGUAAACGGCGGCCGUAACUAUAACGGUCCUAAGGUAGCGAAAUUCCUUGUCGGGUAAGUUCCGACCCGCACGAAAGGCGUAACGAUUUGGGCACUGUCUCAACGAGAGACUCGGUGAAAUCAUAGUACCGGUGAAGAUGCCGGUUACCCGCGACAGGACGGAAAGACCCCGUGGAGCUUUACUGUAGCCUGAUAUUGAAAUUCGGUACAGUUUGUACAGGAUAGGUAGGAGCCUUAGAAGCGUGAGCGCUAGCUUACGUGGAGGCAUUGGUGGGAUACUACCCUAAUUGUAUUGGAUUUCUAACCCGCAGCACUUAUCGUGCUGGGAGACAGUGUCAGGCGGGCAGUUUGACUGGGGCGGUCGCCUCCUAAAGAGUAACGGAGGCGCUCAAAGGUUCCCUCAGAAUGGUUGGAAAUCAUUCAUAGAGUGUAAAGGCAUAAGGGAGCUUGACUGCGAGACCUACAAGUCGAGCAGGGUCGAAAGACGGACUUAGUGAUCCGGUGGUUCCGCAUGGAAGGGCCAUCGCUCAACGGAUAAAAGCUACCCCGGGGAUAACAGGCUUAUCUCCCCCAAGAGUUCACAUCGACGGGGAGGUUUGGCACCUCGAUGUCGGCUCAUCGCAUCCUGGGGCUGUAGUCGGUCCCAAGGGUUGGGCUGUUCGCCCAUUAAAGCGGUACGCGAGCUGGGUUCAGAACGUCGUGAGACAGUUCGGUCCCUAUCCGUCGUGGGCGUAGGAAAUUUGAGAGGAG
rnacentral:rRNA from 1 species